rnacentral:piRNA from 1 species
UGAGAAGGACAGCUGAUGAAGAUUAUGUGU